rnacentral:misc_RNA from 1 species
AGGAGAAUAGAGUUCAGUAACACUAUUCACACUGUCAAACCAUAGAGCGCUUAAUUAAUCUAUCAGUUAUGCAUUUGAUUUAAUAAAGCUGUGAUACAUAUCUUCUUAAGUUCGUCUGUGCAAACUUAUAUUAAAAUGUCUAAUCCAAUUAUUUUUUUAUUUAAAGUGUGAUGUAUUGAAACAGCUAUUUGAAUAUCGAGUGUUAUCCUAAUUUAUCUUUGUUGAAAAUGAAAACCUUUAUUUUUGACAGCGAAUGCUAUCACGUGUCAUAUACAUAUAUUCUUUUUUUCUAUGUAACGAUUAAAAACGUUCACAC